GGGCCCUUAGCUCAGUGGUAGAGCGUUCGGCUCAUAACCGAAUGGUCGCAGGUUCGAUUCCUGCAGGGCCUACCA
rnacentral:tRNA from 1 species